CUUAAAAGUUGAUUGCAGAACCAAAUCAGGAAAACACAGAAGGGCUGAAGGUCAUACACAUGGCAGAAUCUUCCAACCCUGCCUGCAGGAGCUACUGGUAAAAGCAUUCAGGCAGGGUGAGGUGCAGAGCCUGAGCUUCCACUGGAUGUUGAUGGCUGCGAUACGCUUAUAGAGAAAGUACACUUUAUAAUUGGCAGCAAACAUCAGUGACCUGGCAUGAUUCCUGGCUAUGAAGUGGCUCUUUUUUGGCAGAAGAAAUUUCUGCUCCAGUUCCUGAGUGUUUCCUGGAAGGCAAGAUAGCAUUUAUGGGCUUUGAUACGAAUUUAACUCAUGCAACAAUGCAGAAACUGAUUUUAACUGUGUGAUUGAGGUAACACUUGAAGUUACCCUAGAAGCAUCUAUCUCAAGACCUGCCAAAGAUGUGCUUUUCAGACAUAUGCAGAUGUAAGAAGCUGUGAUUUAAAAGCUUCAUGUGAUAGAAAGUAAUCUUAGAAAUGUGGAUAUAUGUACCUGGUCCUAUCUCAGCUCUCUUUCCUGCCACAACGUUUCUUGUUUUAGUGGUGUUCCCAUUGCUUUACCUAGAAAAUUUCUUCAUCAACUCAUCCUGUACUUCUCAGCCCUGCCAAUAAUCACACUCUGCCUUUCCAUGUGGGCAUUCUGUCAGUGCUGAUGAGUAUUUUGGCUUUAAUAGAAAACUAGACAAUAAAAUAGCAAAAUAUUUUAGGUGCUAUUUUCUGGUCUCAUGUAAUUCCCUAUAUUACUUCUGCUGUGUUAAUAGAGAAUUUUGCAAUCACUUUUUAAACAACGUUCAUGAUUUCUUCCCAGUUUGAUUAUCUGAUGGCUUCUUUGAAAUCACUGUUAAAAUCUGAUCUAUAAAAUAAAAUGAAUAUUGAAAUAUCUUAUCUCCAUGUUGUAGGUAAUAAAAACAUUGUAAAGGUUAGCAACAUUACCUUUAAAUACAGAAUCAAGCAUGUUAAGUGCCUUGGAGUUAAGAUUUUAACUUUAUUAGAUUUAUGGUAAGAAUUAAAAUAUCCUCUCUUGUUACAUUUAUAAAGAUAGAGCUCGUUAGAUGAAGGAAAUUUCUUUUAUCAUUAAUAGGUCACAUAAAUGUGAUAAAAAUGUCUACGCUUUCCAUAAAUUUUAUUCUUAUUUUAAGCAGUUGCCGCA
ensembl:lncRNA